rnacentral:rRNA from 1 species
UACAGGGGGUGCAAACGUUGCUCGGAAUUAUUGGGCGUAAAGCGCGCGUAGGCGGCUACUUAAGUCGGAUGUGAAAGCCCUUGGCUCAACUGAGGAAGUGCACCCGAAACUGAGUGGCUUGAGUACCAAAGAGGGUCGCGGAAUUCCCGGUGUAGAGGUGAAAUUCGUAGAUAUCGGGAGGAACACCGGUGGCGAAGGCAGCUCUCUGGGACGGUACUGACGCUGAGACGCGAAAGCGUGGGGAGCGAACAGG